ensembl:lncRNA
CUCGAUGAAUCUCGCAAAAGAUUCGAGUCAUUAGAUGAAUCAAAACACAGAAAAUAAGACACGUUGGAAAGUGACCUCGAAGAUUGCAAUCUCUUAAGUAAAAUAACGAAUAGCAUCCAUGGCCAUUUAUCUUGGAAAAUAAACCAAAUCACCUAUAAUAGAUUCAUGGAAUAUCAGUUUACAGCACCCAAAGAGUUUCAACGGGACAAUUAUGAUGCUGAGCAGAAGAAUCAGCCUCCCAACAGGCAUGAAUUGCUUUCGUGAGUCUUAUCAGAUCUGACGUACUCAAGAAUUGUUUUGACAAGAAGUGCAUCUCCUGCCCUGUUUCUCCUCUGUCUUCCACAAGCUCGUUGAGUGUCUUUCUUGAGAAGAAAGCUUGAUUCUGUCAUAUUGUGUAUCCGAAAGCUAAAAGGCUAGUGCCUCCACUUUAGUGCACAGGGGUCUUUGUAAAUGCAUGGAAUGGAAAGUGAGAAAGUGCUUUUGUUUUAG